AUGUAUUUUUCCCCCCUUUAUUCAACAACCUGUCCUUAUUCAACAACCUGUCCUUAUUCAACAACCUGUCCUUAUUCAACAACCUGUCCUUAUUCAACAACCUGUCCUUAUUCAACCCACCUGUCCUUAUUCAACAACCUGUCCUUAUUCAACAACCUGUCCUUAUUCAACCCACCUGUCCUUAUUCAACCCACCUGUCCUUAUUCAACCCACCUGUCCUUAUUCAACAACCUGUCCUUUAUUCAACAACCUGUCCUUAUUCAACAACCUGUCCUUAUUCAACAACCUGUCCUUAUUCAACAACCUGUCCUUAUUCAACAACCUGUCCUUAUUCAACAACCUGUCCUUAUUCAACAACCUGUCCUUAUUCAACAACCUGUCCUUAUUCAACCACCUGUCCUUAUUCAACAACCUGUCCUUAUUCAACAACCUGUCCUUAUUCAACAACCUGUCCUUAUUCAACAACCUGUCCUUAUUCAACCCACCUGUCCUUAUUCAACCUACCUGUCCUUAUUCAACCCACCUGUCCUUAUUCAACCCACCUGUCCUUAUUCAACCUACCUGUCCUUAUUCAACCCACCUGUCCUUAUUCAACCUACCUGUCCUUAUUCAACAACCUGUCCUUAUUCAACAACCUGUCCUUAUUCAACAACCUGUCCUUAUUCAACAACCUGUCCUUAUUCAACAACCUGUCCUUAUUCAACCUACCUGUCCUUAUUCAACAACCUGUCCUUAUUCAACCUACCUGUCCUUAUUCAACAACCUGUCCUUAUUCAACCUACCUGUCCUUAUUCAACCUACCUGUCCUUAUUCAACCUACCUGUCCUUAUUCAACCCACCUGUCCUUAUUCAACUGACCUGUCCUUAUUCAACAACCUGUCCUUAUUCAACAACCUGUCCUUAUUCAACUGA
rnacentral:lncRNA from 1 species